rnacentral:rRNA from 1 species
AUUGAACGCUGGCGGCGUGCUUAACACAUGCAAGUCGAUCGGUAACAGGUGUAGCAAUACAUGCUGACGAGAGGCGGACGGGUGAGUAAUGCUUGGGAAUCUGCCUAUUAGUGGGGGACGAACCCGGGAAACGUACGGGCGUAAUACCGCAUACGCUCUACGGAGGAAAGCCGGGGACCGCAAGGCCUGGCGCUAAUAGAUGAGCCCAAGUCGGAUUAGCUAGUUGGUAGGGUAACGGCCUACCAAGGCGACAAUCCGUAGCUGGUCUGAGAGGACGACCAGCACACCGGAACUGAGACACGGUCCGGACUCCUACGGGAGGCAGCAGU